rnacentral:rRNA from 1 species
CUUGGUCAUUUAGAGGAAGUAAAAGUCGUAACAAGGUUUCCGUUGGUGAACCUGCGGAAGGAUCAUUAUUGAAAUAAACCUGAUGGGUUGUUGCUGGUUCUCUAGGGAGCAUGUGCACACCUUGUCAUCUUUAUAUCUCCACCUGUGCACCUUUUGUAGACCUUUCAGGUCUAUGUUGCUCCAUUUACCCCAAUGUAUGUUAAUAGAAUGUUGUGCCUAUAUAAUAUAUACAACUUUCAGCAACGGAUCUCUUGGCUCUCGCAUCGAUGAAGAACGCAGCGAAAUGCGAUAAGUAAUGUGAAUUGCAGAAUUCAGUGAAUCAUCGAAUCUUUGAACGCACCUUGCGCUCCUUGGUAUUCCGAGGAGCAUGCCUGUUUGAGUGUCAUUAAUAUAUCAACCUUCUCUUUUUGAGUGGUUUGGAUGUGGGGGUUUGCUGGCCUCUUAAAAGGUCUUGGCUCUCCUGAAAUACAUUAGCAGAACAACCCUGUUCAUUGGUGUGAUAACUAUCUACGCUAUUGAAUGUGAAGGGCAGUUUGGCUUUCUAACAGUCCUUGGACAAGCUCAUCAUUAAUGUGACCUCAAAUCAGGUAGGACUACCCGCUGAACUUAAGCAUAUCAAUAAGCGGAGGA